rnacentral:lncRNA from 1 species
GAAGACACCGUCUUCUUCAAGUUUCCACGUUGACCUCCAAAGGAAAUGGCCGCAUAGCAGCACGGCAUCUCCUCCCCAAUCGAUUCAUCUUCCACAGCAAGGUAUCUUUCGUCUCUCCCAUAAGCUUAGCCUCCUUCUUCAUUCUUUUCUCCAGAAGCUUAGAUACGUUUUGCUCCCCAUUUUUGUUUCUUUCCCGCACACUGUUUUGGUUGAUUUCAGUUCUUGGUGACAUAGUUCCUCUUCAGGAGAAUAUCAUACGGAAACCAAUAUUCGAUGAAAACUUCGUGGAAACCAUACUUCAAAGUUUUGAAAAAAUCUGAAGAAAAUAUGGGAUGUUAAGAAGGUGAUGUUUUAUUGCCACGCAAAAUUUCAAUUGAAACACACUACGAGAUGUGAGCUAUAAAAAAGACAAAUCCAGCCCUGAGUACUGACAUUACUAUUUGGCACUAUUCAACCUUGAUUUUGUCUUUUUCAUAACUCACAUCUCAUAAUGUGUUUCAACUUGAAUUUUUGUGUGGCAAUAAGGGUGUGUUUGGUUUGAGCCCCAGCUAGCCCUACCAAUUUUUGGUAUGACCAAAUCAAGGGCAUGACCAAUAUAUUGGUAAGUAGUUUUUGUUUGGAUUGUAGCCCAGUUGCUGCCCAAAAUUUUGGCAAGUCUUCCGUUUGGUUUGCACCGCUGACCUGAAUGACUACACUAGACUUUGGAAUACUUCACACGUCUAUUAUCUAAAUAAAAACAAAGAUGCAUACAAGAGAAAAGAAAUAUGCUUGCCAACAGAAUGACACGAGACAGCCACAGCCGGAAGUUUUUAGUACACUAGUCCUCGCCCAGCGCAGGAAAAUAUCACGCUGCAUGCACUUUAUUUUUUUUAAGCACCAAACUGCAUGCCCUCACUAAUCGUUGCGACUAAAACGACUAAUUACAGGCCAAAAGAUGCAAAACGCCCGGCUGCAUGCACCGCAUGUGACAUUACAUGGACAAAGUCGCGACGCCAAUUUAUUGGCGGAGCUCUUCUCCGCCCAUGGCUUGCCCGCGUGUUGGCGCGAUUUACACGGGCCCGCGGCGGCUGUGCUGGGCACGCCAAUUUUUUGGUAGUGAUCCAAACAGGUAACAAAUGCCAUGGGCUAGCCAAUUUUUUGGUGUGGUCAGAUUUGGUGGUCAUCCAAACACACCCGGAAACAUCAUCCUCUUAACAUCUCGUAUUUUUUUUGAGAUUUUUUUAAAACUUCAAAACAUCUUCUUCUCGUGGUUUUCACCGGUUUCCACCGAAUGUUGGUUUCUGUAUGAUAUUUUCCCGCCGUUCCUCUUAUGCUGAGGUCGGUGCUUGCCUAGGCAGGCUCAGGUUUUAGAUCUGGCCGAUCUUUAGUUUCAGAGAGAAUCCACGCAGAAUUUGUGAUUCUCCUUAGAGCUAUUCUGAGAUUGGGCAUGCUUCUAUUCGUCAGUUGGACUCAGUAGUAGGUUGAGAACACUUUUCCUAUUCUUCAUGAGGCUGGUUCCCACGAUUAACUUGUUUUAUAUAUUUUUGAUAUGAAGAUGUGAUGCACAUGGCCGAUCUACUCAGUUUGUUGGAGUGAAGAGUCCAUCUUUGCUACCAAAGAGGAUAAUUGAUAAUGAGCUUGAAAUAGGCAGGGUAUUGCUCUGAAGUGUGCUAGUUGCACCAGCAAUCUGCCGUAGCGAGGGAUGAGUGAACGUGAUGCCUAGGUUCAUGAGUAGGUGUCAAGUGGACAUGGCAGUGACAACAAAAUUAGACCUUUCCCCUCCUCUCUAGUCUAGACAUAGGCAAUCAGGUGGUUCCCGUCCUCAGCAGGCCGCUCGCCUCCGAUAGCAGCCUAGGCAAUCGGGAGUUAGGGGGAACCCUAAUCUGACUUCGGUUUGUAGAUAUAGUCGUCCAUGUUAGGAUUGCUCUCCCUGCUACCUAUUUGCCUCCCAGGUGCAAUAUUUCCCAGAGAGAAUUCCUUAUUUGACACUCCCUUAAAAUCAUGUUCCUUAUUUGACACUGAAAAAAAUUUCUUACCUAUAUGACCUAUAGUCUUAAUUUUUUUUCCCUAUAUGACACUCUAGUUCAUUUUAUACACGUGAAAAGACCU